rnacentral:rRNA from 1 species
GACGAACGCUGGCGGCGUGCUUAACACAUGCAAGUCGAACGGCAAGGCCCUGCUUUUGUGGGGUGCUCGAGUGGCGAACGGGUGAGUAACACGUGAGUAACCUGCCCUUGACUUUGGGAUAACUUCAGGAAACUGGGCCUAAUACCGGAUAGGAGCUCCUGCUGCAUGGUGGGGGUUGGAAAGUUUCGGCGGUUGGGGUUGGACGCGCGGCUUAUCGGCCUGUUGGUGGGGUAGUGGCUUACCAAGGCUUUGACGGGUCGCCGGCCUGGGAGGGUGACCGGGCCCAUUGGGACUACGGGAGGGCGCAGACGCCAACGGGAGGCAGCAGUGGGAAGUAUGGCACAGUGGGCGGACGCCUGAUGCGGCGACGCCGGGUGCGGGGUGACGGUCUUCGGGUUGUAAACCGCUUUAGCUUGUGACGAAGCGUGAGUGACGGUAAUGGGUAAAGAAGCACCGGCUAACUACGUG